rnacentral:rRNA from 1 species
UACAGAGGGUGCAAGCGUUAAUCGGAAUGACUGGGCGUAAAGGGUGCGUAGGUGGUUGCUUAAGUUAGAUGUGAAAUCCCCGGGCUUAACCUGGGAACUGCAUUUAAUACUGAGCGACUAGAGUGUGGGAGAGGUAAGUGGAAUUUCCGGUGUAGCGGUGAAAUGCGUAGAUAUCGGAAGGAACACCAGUGGCGAAGGCGGCUUACUGGCCUAACACUGACACUGAGGCACGAAAGCGUGGGGAGCAAACAGG